rnacentral:piRNA from 1 species
UCUUUUAUGACCUAGUGCGGCAAA